UUUGUAAGUACUAGAAAGACAACCAUGGGGUGGCAGUGAGAAUGGGGUAAGAAUGGGCAGUAAGGUGUCCCAUGGGAGCCCUGGUUUACAGCAUAGUAAUGUACGCGGAUAAGCACUGGAAGUCAGAAUCUUGCUACCCAUCAGGCCGAUGGCACUAGGGAUAUUACUAAAGUCUCUCUCUGUGAUGGAAGCCUCAGUAGUGGGCCUCAGCAACAGGAGGGUGAGGUGUGGGUGUCACUCCUCUGAGGGUUCCUGGCAGACAAGCUGUUGAAGCCUAGAUUUGGGCUGCUUCCAAAGGGCCUGGGUCCACACUUGGGUUGGUCCUGUAGUGUUGCAGUCUUGAACUUAAUGAUUUUGGAACCAGGGGCUCCACAUUUUUAUUUUGCAAGUUCUUCUGUCCUGCCGUAUUCUGACAGACUUCACUCUUCUGCUAUUGGUAGUUUUUCACUUCAUCAAUCCAGCAUUUGGUGGGUUUUGUUGGUUUACUUUUUGAAACUGUCUUUAGACCAGGUUGUCCUAGAACUUAUCAAGGCUGGACUUGAACUUCUGGUCCUCUUGCCUGGAUCCCCUAACAGGGUACUGGGAGUAUAGGCCAUAGUGUGGUGGGCCUUAAACUAGGGCAUCUCCAUUCAAGCUAGGCAAGCAUUCUACCAACUAAGUUGUAUCCCCAGCUCCCAAUCUAGUGUUCUGUAAUGGGGUUAAAUCUCCCAGGAGAAAAAUCCCUUUAGGAUUGGCUGCUCACAUAUAUGCCUGUCUGCCUCUCUAUCACAGGCAGGGUGGCUGCUGAGGACAGGACAGAUUCCUUCUCCACUGAAGCUUGAGACACUAGCAUGGAGUAAUUAGGAUCUCAGUGAGUCAUAGGUCAUUCUUUUUCCUGACCUGAACCUACCUAAGCACCUGACCCUGUCUAGGGAGGCAGUGUCAGUUCUGGCAGCCUUGCUUGGCUCCUGGAAAGCUCUGUGAGGGUGGAGGCUCAGAGCUCCUGAGAUCCUCCUUGCUGUGCCCCGAACUUGCCUCAAUACCAUCACUGUUCAGGCUCUGUAGCAUUCAAAGACAACACAGAUUUAAAGGUCUAUAGAGUUCUGGGUCUGUGAAGCCUCUCCCAAGGGAAGAACUAAGUAUGACUUUAAAACACUUCAAUUUCCAUUCUGAGUGGAUCUGAGACCCAGUGGGAGGCCAGGGUUUCUGGACUGUUAAAUAUGAUGGUGUAAAGAAUGAGUCAGUAAAGAAUAACUCAGCGUUCCAGAGGCUGAGGCAGGAGGAUUGUGGGAUCUAGACUAGCCUUGACUAUGUAACUCAGUGUAUGCCUGUAACCCUAGCACCCUGGAGAAGGAUAAAGUGAGAUUUUAAUAGUUUUAUUGAGUGAUCCACUUGAAAUGGUAACAUUCAUGUUGAAAGUGUGGCAGUUGGCCUUGGGUAUAUUCAGUGUCAUGUCAUGCAGCCAUUAUCAAAAUGAACAACUGAGCCUCCCCAUCACCUGUCAUUCUGCCCCCACCCUGAGAGGCACAGCUCUACUUCCAUGUAGUCUGUAGUCCUUUUAUGUGGCACAGUGGUCUGAAAGUACAGCCAUGUUGUAGUACCAGGGUGGAUUGACUGUCUUCCUUCUCUCCCCUUCCUCCCCAUCUUCCAUCUUUUCCUUGUUUUUUGUUUGUUUUAUUUUGGUUUGGGGGUUUUUCUUUUUUUAAGAUAGGCAUUCCUGUAGCCAAGGCUAGCUUUGAACACCUCAUCCUCCUGCCUGCACUUUCUGAGUUGCCAAUGCUAUCAGCUUGUACCACACACACACACACCCAUCCCCAGCUCAAGACUUCAUUCCCUCCUAUGCCUGAGUACUGUUCUGUUACAGGGAUGGCUGCCUGUUGUGUGUCCAUUUGUCAGUUGCUUAGACAUGGGGGGUUGUCUCCAUUUGUUGCUAUCAUGAACAAUGCAGUUGUGAAUGUUCCUGUAUGCUUCUGUGUCAUUGUACAUCUUUGUUCCUCUUGGGAAUACUGGUAGGAGUGGAGCUGCUGGAUCCUAAGACAAUGCCACACUUUCCGUUUUGAAGAACUUCCAAAGGCUUUCAGUAGGUGGAAUGUGGAGAGAGUCAGAAGAGCUGAACAGAAUCUGGAGCCUGCUCCAAUGCAGCCUUGGAAACAUUUUACAGACUGGGCCUUCCGUCUCACCAGUCCCAACUUUGAGCUUCCGCACCCCCACUUCCUAAGUGGGAUCUUAGGCGUGAAGCAGAAGAUGUGGCCCAGAUUAAAGGUGGAUCUUCACCCUCAAAGAUCCAGAUUAGAAGUGAGUCCUCCCACUUCAAAUGAUUUAUUUAAGAAAAAAUUCCCUCACAGGCGUGCCCAACCUUUUGCGUUUUAGUUCAUUCCUGAUGUAGUCAAGUUGACAACUAAGGAUAGCCAUCACAAUUCCCCCACACCACUGCUACAUCUGCAGGAUGAGCCUGGGGAGCAGGCUUAGGCUACAUCUUCAAGCGUCCAGUCCCAUCUCCAUGGCAACUAGUAAGGACUAGCAUUCAGAAGCCUACUUCCUACACGAGGGUCAGGCCAGGCUGCCAGCAUCAUGUUGGAAUGUGAUGUUGUUCCCUUUGGAGUCUCCCCUAGAUGAAUAUUUCCAGCACCACCUACUUGCCACACCCUUCUCUCUCUGGACCUUCCUGCAGAGUCACCAAGGAAAGAGUGUGAGUGGUCAGUUGGGAGGGAGGCAGCCCUGGUAUUAUGUGAGUUCCAAUUCUGACCCCACUACUUAAUGGCAGGGCCUUUCACCUCUCUGAGCCUCUUCUGUAAAGUGAGUUUAAAGAGACCUGCUCACAGACUUGGAAGAUGGCUCAGUGGAUAAAGCACUUGCUCCACAAGCGUGAAGACCUAAGUUUGACUCUCCAGAGCUCACAUAAAGGUCCUGGCUGGUGACAUGUGGAUGACACUCUAUAACUAUCAGAUGGUCCCACAAAUACCAACAUUGCUGCUCCAUCUGAAUCAAAUCCUCCAUACCCACAAGGGUUGUUUGUCCUCUUUUCUGCCUGAUGUCACAGCUGGGAUACCUUGAUGUCACAAAGUGGAAGAUGAAGAGGCAUAGUCUAACAUGUGGAAGAAAAUGUGAUGCUGGGGUCCAGUUUUUCUUGAGUGGUUGUGCAUUUCUAUCUGCUUUUCUUAGCUCUGUUCAUUUCCCUGCUCCAGUAUUCACUUGCUGUUGCCAGGGACCCAUGAGCCUCGGAGUUGAAGUCAAGAUAGCUCCCUGGCUCUGGAUUUUGCAGUAAUGAAUGCACCCACCAAGGUAAUAAUAAACUCGCAGUCUCAUUACUUGCCUGCUCACUAAUUCCCUUCGUGUUUCUCUGCCCCUUUCCUCAAAUGGAUUCCUGAGUUCUUCCAGAUUGCUGGUUGCUAAGCUAUCAAGUUCCAGGUUCUGAAACCUGGCUGCUCAUUGGUGGAGAGUUCCUGGGCUGUUCCAAUCAGGAGGCGGCAGAGAAAGGCAUUCAUUCACUCCAGGAGUUGGGAUUUUCUAGCAGUUGAUGUCAAGCGAAGGUCUUUGACUAGCACUACAGGAUUUGCUGUACUCUUAAGCUGACUGAGGAGGGUCACAGGUUCUAGAAUGUUCCCCCAGGAAGAUGAGGGGCCAUAGAUGGACAAUGUGACUUCCCACCCCGGGGCAGCAGAGAUACCCUCAAGAGAUCCCAGGAUUAAACUGCAAUGUCCACCUCACAGCUUGGAAUAUAGGCUGCCACAGGUGGCUAUAAAGGACUAUAAAAUAUAUGAGUGGAAGAGCACUUACCUCAGCUCAGCUUCACCAGGAACGUCGUCUCCUCCCAUUCAGAAGGUGCCCUGGACUUGUGGAGACCAGGAGGGAUGGCUGUAGACUGUAGCUUCCUUCCUUCAGAAAGAAGGAAGCCAUGUGACCCAGACCUGGUUCUGAGACAGUCACAUGGCUAAGAUGAACCGAUUAGAAUUUUCUCUGCUACUUUUCUGCCAGAACUAUAGGAAAAGACCUCAUACACUGCACUGCUUGUGAACACAUGUGGAAGAUGUUUGAAAAAAUAGAAAUUCUCAAAAGAUACAGAGCCCCCGAGCUCCAGCUUAGGUUAAACCAGAUCCAUGUCCCACAUCUAAUAGAAAACACCAAGCUUGGUGUGUGCAUAUGCAUGUGUGUGUGUGUGUCUAAGAAGCAGGAACAUAUAUAGAUUCACUGCAUGGUACCCACCUAUAUGUCAGGUGAUUUGCAUACAGUCCCAUAUAGGGCCAUUAAGAUCAAUCUAGUACUCUAGUAUGUUACAGUAUUGCAGGCUGGGAACUGAGACUCCAAGGGGUACAGGUGCCUUGCCCAGAGGACAUUGUCUCGGUAUGCUCAAGGAUUCCAGUCUGUGCUAUCUAAAGCUUAACCAAUUCAACUCGUCCGAAAUGGUCUCUUCCAAACUGAUAGCCCUCAAGCCUGCCAUCUUUCCGUCUAGCAGACUCACUAGAAGCCAGGUCCCGUCAGAUCUCUUCUUGCCCCUCUGUACCCCCAUAUCUAAGCCUCACUGAGCUGGUCCAUCACCAUCCCUCUGUCCACCAUUUCUGUGCAGUUCUGUGGAAGAGUGCUUUCUCCUGCCCUCUCCCCAUGAUGCCUUGGCUGCUGUAAUUUCUCUCUUGGCCUUCUAGAACUAUCUCCCUCUUGUUUGCCCAUCCCUCAUGUCUAUACCUUCCUCCUCUCCAGGCUAUCUCUCCACGGCACCCACAAGGAUUGUCUCAAAUGCCAACCUGGGUGGUGGUGAUGUCAUAAUGUAAUGUCAUACGAGGCAUUCCCACCUUUGGGAACCUCCUGAGGAUUGGUCAGUCCCGGCUAGGGACACAGCUCUUAGACUUUGAGCUAGACAACCAGGAGGACAGGAGGACCUAGUAUCCUGCCUCCAUCAGCCCAUCAUUUAUGCAAAUGCUACUUAGUUGCCGUCUAGAUGCAGGAUGCUGUCUGCCCUGUUAAAUGCUGUGUGAACCCAGAUGGAAGCUGAGCAGACAUCACACUCGUGAGCAGCUCCCCUUCCUGUGAGCAUCUCCCCUUCCUGUGAGCAUCUCCCCUUCCUGUUUCAGGCUGGCCUUGAACUUACAGGGAUUCACCUGCCUCUGCCUCCCAGAUGCUGAGAUUAAAGGCAUGUGCCAUCACCACCUGAACAACAGCAGCUUUCUAAGGAACCAGUAAGGCACUACAGACUUUUCAUAUAACAUCACCUUCAUUCUCUCACAACUAAUUCUACAAAACAGAUGUUAUACGACCUCGUUCGCUGAAGUCAAAGAUGCAGAGGGGCCAAGGUGUGGGCUCCGGACCUCACACCAGUGUGGCAGAUUCAACAAGCCCAGAAUAAGCCUCUUCCUUUGCUCACAAUAAGGUUUAUUAUAGAAGCAACAACUUCUGCAUACCAGAGGUGAGAGAUGCAGCAAUCCUCUCCGUGCUCAUGAAGCUUAAAAUUUGGGGGAGAAAGUAGAGAAAAGUUAAGCCAACUGCCUCUUCAUUCCUCAGUCACACUCCUCCUCUGACCCUGCUCCAGGAGGCUCAUCUUGUCAGACUUCACACUGAAUGAGCGCUGAGGAUGCUGUAGAGUAUGAGCUGUGUGCAGGUGAUAGCAGUGGAAAGAAGACUAAGACAGACUCCAUCUAGAAACCAGAAUGACCUCUUUUAUGGAAAAAGAGACUGUAUCACUCGUGUUUCUACCCACAAAAACCUCCACUGAUUGCUAUCUUCUGGUCCUGUACUCCUCAAGCUCAAAGGCCAACGUCCUGGCAUUUGUGUGACGGCUUUUGCCCUACCCUGCAGAAUUUGCAAUAGGCAGUCUCUACAUGUACUCAGGGCCCAGUGGGCAUUCAACAUGUUCAUUGAAUGACAACUUUGGUGACAAGUUCCUUAUUUGCACAUAUGCUUUUGAGAUGUUUGCAACCAUUCUCCACCCCAGCCGGGUUCCCAUGUGGCCAUCUGGAAGUGAGCACACCAAACAGUCUUCAAAUAUCAUUCCAACCCCCUUCCUGUCUAAAUGUCCAAUACCAUUUGCUGAGACUGAAAAGAACGGAACCCACAGCUGUCCCCAGAGCUCAGUCACUUUGUGGUCUUGCUGGGAGCCACCACCAAUUGGCAGGACUCUUCCUGAUCAAACCCUAGAUGCUCUACCUUCCAGAUCUGAAGACUUUUUGACCCAGAUCCAAGUCUGAAAGCUCCUAUCUGCACAUAAUGUGAGCAACUCCUCUAUGAGAUCCCUUCUAUGAGUGCCAGUGAACACUGAUGCAUGCUGGGAAAUGCAAACCUCAAUCAUUUCAAAAGCAAUUUGUGCCCCUGAAACAAGCCAACCAGCAGAGAAGGAACAAAAGAAACAUGGUGUCUUCUACCUCCAGCCUUGAAGCUUCCAGACCUCCCUACACGAACCCCCCCCCCACACCCACUCCCCGAAAUGAUGUCCCAGUGAAGAGCCAGGCUCUUAUCCUUCCAUCCAUGCCUCUCAGGCGUCUGCUUCAUUUAGCAUGUAUGUGCAUUUUACCAGGUUAAUGCAACACAGACUAUUUCCUAGUAGCUGUGAAGCCCAGUGUAGCCUCUGCUGCCGGACACAUGGUUUGUCUCCAGUCUUUCCCUUCCCAGCAAAGCAGCCUUGACUCAUCUCCUUUCUCUAUGACAGAGCCCUUUAGAAUGUACUCACUGGGCCAACGAUGCAGUUUCAAUUUGGGUUUUUAAUGGAAGUGGGUGGCUAGGUAAGUGGGUUGAAUGACUGACUGAUUCUGAAUAGCUCUGAAUUUAUUGAGCUGCUUCCAGGAAGGUCCAGGUGACCUGGGUAGCAGAAAGGACACCCAUUC
rnacentral:lncRNA from 1 species